UAUAGGUUGGUGCAAAAGUAACUGUGGUUUUUGACAUUGAAAGUAAUGGCAAAAGCCAAAAUCGCUUUUGCACCAACCUAAUA
rnacentral:miRNA from 1 species